rnacentral:ncRNA from 2 species
CACUUAUCAAGAAAGGCUGAGGGAUAUGGCCCAAUGAAGCCUUGACAACCUGUCUUGCGACAAGCAAGAUAAGGUGCCAACUCCAUCACGCGGAUUAGCGUGACAGAUAAAUG